UUAAGCGACUAAGCGUACACGGUGGAUGCCCUGGCAGUCAGAGGCGAUGAAGGACGUGCUAAUCUUGCGAUAAGCGUCGGUGAGGUGAUAUGAACCGUUAUAACCGGCGAUUUCCGAAUGGGGAAACCCAGUGUGUUUCGACACACUAUCAUUAACUGAAUCCAUAGGUUAAUGAGGCGAACCGGGGGAACUGAAACAUCUAAGUAUCCCGAGGAAAAGAAAUCAACCGAGAUUCCCCCCAGUAAGCGGCGAGCGAACGGGGAGGAGCCCAGAGCCUGAAUCAGUGUGUGUGUUAGUGGAAGCGUCUGGAAAGGCCGCGCGAUACAGGGUGACAGCCCCGUACACAAAAAUGCACAUACUGUGAGCUCGAUGAGUAGGGCGGGACACGUGGUAUCCUGUCUGAAUAUGGGGGGACCAUCCUCCAAGGCUAAAUACUCCUGACUGACCGAUAGUGAACCAGUACCGUGAGGGAAAGGCGAAAAGAACCCCGGCGAGGGGAGUGAAAAAGAACCUGAAACCGUGUACGUACAAGCAGUGGGAGCCUCUUAAUGGGGUGACUGCGUACCUUUUGUAUAAUGGGUCAGCGACUUAUAUUCUGUAGCAAGGUUAACCGAAUAGGGGAGCCGAAGGGAAACCGAGUCUUAACUGGGCGUUAAGUUGCAGGGUAUAGACCCGAAACCCGGUGAUCUAGCCAUGGGCAGGUUGAAGGUUGGGUAACACUAACUGGGAGGACCGAACCGACUAAUGUUUGAAAAAUUAGCGGAUGACUUGUGGCUGGGGGUGAAAGGCCAAUCAAACCGGGAGAUAGCUGGUUCUCCCCGAAAGCUAUUUAGGUAGCGCCUCGUGAAUUCAUCUCCGGGGGUAGAGCACUGUUUCGGCAAGGGGGUCAUCCCGACUUACCAACCCGAUGCAAAACUGCGAAUACCGGAGAAUGUUAUCACGGGAGACACACGGCGGGUGCUAACGUCCGUCGUGAAGAGGGAAACAACCCAGACCGCCAGCUAAGGUCCCAAAGUCAUGGUUAAGUGGGAAACGAUGUGGGAAGGCCCAGACAGCCAGGAUGUUGGCUUAGAAGCAGCCAUCAUUUAAGAAAGCGUAAUAGCUCACUGGUCGAGUCGGCCUGCGCGGAAGAUGUAACGGGGCUAAACCAUGCACCGAAGCUGCGGCAGCGACACUAUGUGUUGUUGGGUAGGGGAGCGUUCUGUAAGCCUGUGAAGGUGGCCUGUGAGGGUUGCUGGAGGUAUCAGAAGUGCGAAUGCUGACAUAAGUAACGAUAAAGCGGGUGAAAAGCCCGCUCGCCGGAAGACCAAGGGUUUCUGUCCAACGUUAAUCGGGCAGGGUGAGUCGACCCCUAAGCGAGGCCGAAAGAGCGUUAGUCGAUGGGAAACAGGUUAAUAUUCCUGUACUUGGUGUUACUGCGAAGGGGGGACGGAGAAGGCUAUGUUGGCCGGGCGACGGUUGUCCCGGUUUAAGCGUGUAGGCUGGUUUUCCAGGCAAAUCCGGAAAACCAAGGCUGAGGCGUGAUGACGAGGCACUACGGUGCUGAAGCGACAAAUGCCCUGCUUCCAGGAAAAGCCUCUAAGCAUCAGGUAACAUCAAAUCGUACCCCAAACCGACACAGGUGGUCAGGUAGAGAAUACCAAGGCGCUUGAGAGAACUCGGGUGAAGGAACUAGGCAAAAUGGUGCCGUAACCUUCGGGAGAAGGCACGCUGAUAUGUAGGUGAAGCGACUUGCUCGUGGAGCUGAAAUCAGUCGAAGAUACCAGCUGGCUGCAACUGUUUAUUAAAAACACAGCACUGUGCAAACACGAAAGUGGACGUAUACGGUGUGACGCCUGCCCGGUGCCGGAAGGUUAAUUGAUGGGGUUAGCGGCAACGCGAAGCUCUUGAUCGAAGCCCCGGUAAACGGCGGCCGUAACUAUAACGGUCCUAAGGUAGCGAAAUUCCUUGUCGGGUAAGUUCCGACCUGCACGAAUGGCGUAAUGAUGGCCAGGCUGUCUCCACCCGAGACUCAGUGAAAUUGAACUCGCUGUGAAGAUGCAGUGUACCCGCGGGCAAGACGGAAGACCCCGUGAACCUUUACUAUAGCUUGACACUGAACAUUGAGCCUUGAUGUGUAGGAUAGGUGGGAGGCUUUGAAGUGUGGACGCCAGUUCUGCAUGGAGCCGACCUUGAAAUACCACCCUUUAAUGUUUGAUGUUCUAACGUUGGCCCGUAAUCCGGGUUGCGGACAGUGUCUGGUGGGUAGUUUGACUGGGGGCGGUCUCCUCCUAAAGAGUAACGGAGGAGCACGAAGGUUGGCUAAUCCUGGUCGGACAUCAGGAGGUUAGUGCAAUGGCAUAAGCCAGCUUGACUGCGAGCGUGACGGCGCGAGCAGGUGCGAAAGCAGGUCAUAGUGAUCCGGUGGUUCUGAAUGGAAGGGCCAUCGCUCAACGGAUAAAAGGUACUCCGGGGAUAACAGGCUGAUACCGCCCAAGAGUUCAUAUCGACGGCGGUGUUUUGGCACCUCGAUGUCGGCUCAUCACAUCCUGGGGCUGAAGUAGGUCCCAAGGGUAUGGCUGUUCGCCAUUUAAAGUGGUACGCGAGCUGGGUUUAGAACGUCGUGAGACAGUUCGGUCCCUAUCUGCCGUGGGCGCUGGAGAACUGAGGGGGGCUGCUCCUAGUACGAGAGGACCGGAGUGGACGCAUCACUGGUGUUCGGGUUGUCAUGCCAAUGGCACUGCCCGGUAGCUAAAUGCGGAAGAGAUAAGUGCUGAAAGCAUCUAAGCACGAAACUUGCCCCCGAGAUGAGUUCUCCCUGAGACUUAGAGUCUCCUGAAGGAACGUUGAAGACGACGACGUUGAUAGGCCGGGUGUGUAAGCGCAGCGAUGCGUUGAGCUAACCGGUACUAAUGAACCGUGAGGCUUAACCUA
rnacentral:rRNA from 1 species